CCUACGGGGGGCAGCAGUGAGGAAUAUUGGUCAAUGGGAGAGAUCCUGAACCAGCCAAGCCGCGUGAGGGAAGACGGCCCUAUGGGUUGUAAACCUCUUUUGUCGGAGAGCAAAACCCCGGACGAGUCGCGGUCUGCGUGUAUCCGAAGAAAAAGCAUCGGCUAACUCCGUGCCAGCAGCCGCGGUAAUACGGAGGAUGCGAGCGUUAUCCGGAUUUAUUGGGUUUAAAGGGUGCGUAGGCGGUCUGUCAAGUCAGCGGUAAAAUUGCGGAGCUCAACCCCGUCGAGCCGUUGAAACUGGUGAACUUGAGUGGGCGAGAAGUACGCGGAAUGCGUGGUGUAGCGGUGAAAUGCAUAGAUAUCGCGCAGAACUCCGAUUGCGAAGGCAGCGUACCGGCGCCAGACUGACGCUGAGGCACGAAAGCGUGGGGAUCGAACAGGAUUAGAUACCCGUGUAGUC
rnacentral:rRNA from 1 species